rnacentral:lncRNA from 1 species
AAUCAUAAGGGCAAAAACUCAGAAAUAACCCAAAUAAGGAGAAAGUCAUAAGUAGAAAUCUACAUAUUUACCAUGAAAUUAAAUUAGUAUAAUAGAAAUAAUCAAAAUACCUAGUAAUAGGGAAAAUGUUAAUUAACUAUUUUAUAUGUACCAUAAUAAAUUUUGCUAAUAUAAGCAUCAAUAAUGGUAAUUAUGAAGUUUAUAUAGUAAGGUAAAAAUAUUUUUUAUUAAUGCAGAGUGACAAAUAUUGACACUUUAUGCAUAAUAACUAUGAUUAGGUACUUUCGUGAAAUAGGUAUAUAUGCACAUUGUGACGUUUUCCCCGUUUGUAUUAUGAAACACUAUAUUAUUGAACUUACACAUUGAAUUAAAGAAAAUUUUAAACACAGAGUUCAAUUGCCCUCUAACUUCAUUAAAUAUAUUUAUUCAAUAAGGAUCCUAUUUUUAAUUGCCUUCAUCAUCUCUAUAAAUCAUAUCUUUUAAAAUUUUACCAGUUUAAUUUAAAAUCAUCUUCCAUUGGUAUUUUUUGCUUCCUUCCUAAUUAGUGAGAUUGAGUCUCUGUUCAUCUUAAAAUUUGCCCUUCACUUUUAUUCUAUAAACAGAGUUUAUUCUUUGCCAAUUUUUAUUAAGAGGUGUUCCUGUGAUUAUUUAGGUGAUUUUACAUAUUAUCACGAAAAUAACAUGUAUUUUUAAAGGCCAUUUUAAGUGUAAAGACUUUUAUACUUUGAUAAUUGAUUCACAUAUAAUGACAGGUAAUACUAUUGUUUUAUGGUCAUUUUGACAUGCAUAGUUUAACUUUAUUUUUACAGAUUAGAGGGAUUGAGCUUUAGAUUAUCUGUUAUUGAAAAAUGUCCAACUGACCUUAUUUUAAGUGUGAGAUUCAGUUAGAAUUUUUAGAAUCAUAUUCAACCAUAAUAGUUUAAAUCUGAAAAUUCCAUAAUGAAUAAAUAAUCAUCUGCAUAUCUUCUGCAAACCUGAUCUCAUGGAUCAAAUUUUAAAUUUAUCUUUCAAGGCUAUAAAAUGAGUCAACAAACAGCGUUAUUGAACUACAAAAUCCUCCGCAAAUAUUAGGAAACCAUCUUCUUUACUUAUGACAUGGUUCUGCAGCCCUCCACAGAAAGCAGCUCCAUAGAGAAGAUCCUAUUAAUUAUUUAUUAUUGUCUGGUGAUGGUAAUGUUUAUUCAUGUUUCAUCUGAAAGGCUUUCAAAUGAAAUAUUCUAUGGAGUCAAACUACUGUGAAAAUGUCAUAAUUUCAGAAAAGCUAGAUUAGAGAGCCAUUUAUUAUUGAAACUUAGCUUGAUGUGUUUUGGUUGCAGGCUCUGAGCUUGGCACUAAAAAAUAUCUGAUUUCUACCCAUAAAUAUGCUUUUAAAAAUCUUGUCCAAGCCCAGGUGAUGGCACAUAUUUAUAAUCCUACUGACUUGGGAGGCUGAGUGAGGAGGAUCACAAUUUGAAGAUCAACUGGGUAACUUAGUGAGACCUUAUCUCCUAAUGAAAUAUAAAAAGUACAGGGAAAGUAGCUUAGUGGUAGAACAUCCCUGGGUCCAAUCCCAAAAACUGCACAUGUGCACACAUGCAUACAUAAGAAACCUAUCCCAAACCUACCAGGAAGAAUGAUUAAUCUUUUUUAAUCCAACAUUGAAUACAUUGAAUACAGCCACUUGUCAAAAGAAACGAACUUUAUUUUUAGAACCACACACGCCAAACAAAACAGCUCCUCAGGAAAAACCCUCAGAGCCCAACUGCCACCACCGGCUUCCCAUCAGCCUCUCUCACAACCACAAGCCUCUCCACCUCCCACAAUCCUCCUGCUCUUGAGGCCGAUUGGCUGGGUCGGGUGGGCAGAGCCAAAAAGUCCCCCAAUGAGCAGCUCAGUGGUCUGAAAGGGCAGGGAAACAGCCCAAUGAGCAUCACCGCAGAGGAGCCAAUCAGCUAGAUGUUGCUGGCACCACUGUGAGCCAAUCAUCAGCAGGCAGCUGGAAGUUUGCUGGGGCCCCUUCGGCUGUGGCUCUCAAC